GCCUGACUCAGGUCCCCUAAAAUUCUCAUCCCUACCCUGAGCACCAGCUCUUGAGAUGAUGGACUUUGCUCCUGUAAGGGGAUCUGACCCUUGAGGUUCCCUGCCCUCUGCCUUGAGGACUGAAAGGAAAAGGAAUUCCAGCUUGCAGCAGGUCUCUUUUUAUGCUGUUGGCAACAAUCCCCAGGUGGGUCUUCCAUGCCUGGAGCCACACUGAUACCAUUCAGCUGGGUGUUCCAAAUUGACCAUCAGUCCACCACAGUGUCUCUACCUCUAAACACAUCUGUCUCACAGAACUGUAAAGGUUGAACAAGGAAGUCUACCAGGAUCAAGCAGUAGGUGAAAAAUGCUGCUGGAUCACAUAAGAUGCCAAAAGAACCACGGCUAAUGGAAGCUUUCUCAAAGACCCCCCAGGACAGUGGCCUGCUCAUGUCUUCUCAUCUUGGGUGGCAUAGACUGCCUGCAGCUGAGGACCCACUGCCACAUCCUCUGCAACAGUGCCUUGUUGGCCAGUGUGUUGAUGACUGACUGAUAGGUAUGAGUAUUAAAUGCUUUUGCCUCCUUCCUAAUGGAACAUCAGAGACCUUUCCACCAGCCUCUCCCAUUGCCAGUUAGGUGGGUCUGAUUCACUCUGUUGUAAUUCAGCACAUUCUCUGCAGCCACCAUGGGAACUCUGGAGGCUCAGAAGUGGUGCUGGUCUUACUACCCUCAAACCAGGGUAAUGAGGUUCUCGUGUAAUCACAGGCCCAGGCAGAGGACUUACCACAGACCACAUAGCUGGAAGGCAGAACCGCCAGCAGUGUGGCCGCCCAGGCAUGGUUAAGCACCCUGAUCUGAAAUCCCAUAAUACUCUGCAGAUUCCCAUUCACUGCACUUAGUGCCCUAUUGGCCUCCUUCGUGACAAUAAACAUCUCGAGGCCAUUCUAGCAGCCUCUUGGGUCCCACUGCCUAACCCAGGACAAGGACACUUCUGUGGCACACAGCACACAGCCCAGUGAUGCCCUUUGGCUCUCUGUGCAGAGGUCUCAGGUGCCCUGUUGAGAGCUCUGUGACUGCCUUGGGUUAUGGAGACCUAGGGCUGUCACAUCCAAAUCUCCCUAGGUUUGCUAGGUCACCUCUCAUCCCCUCUACUGCUCCCAUGGGCUCUCUCCUUCCAUCUCAAGCCAACUUCCUCCUGUCACAGACAUGCCCUUACAUAUGCUUUCCAAACAUGGACCUAGUGAGCAAUCAUGGCUGAAUCUCAGCAGGC